GAUGAACGCUGGCGGCGUGCCUAAUACAUGCAAGUCGAGCGAACAGACGAGGAGCUUGCUCCUCUGACGUUAGCGGCGGACGGGUGAGUAACACGUGGAUAACCUACCUAUAAGACUGGGAUAACUUCGGGAAACCGGAGCUAAUACCGGAUAAUAUAUUGAACCGCAUGGUUCAAUAGUGAAAGACGGUUUUGCUGUCACUUAUAGAUGGAUCCGCGCCGCAUUAGCUAGUUGGUAAGGUAACGGCUUACCAAGGCAACGAUGCGUAGCCGACCUGAGAGGGUGAUCGGCCACACUGGAACUGAGACACGGUCCAGACUCCUACGGGAGGCAGCAGUAGGGAAUCUUCCGCAAUGGGCGAAAGCCUGACGGAGUAACGCCGCGUGAGUGAUGAAGGUCUUCGGAUCGUAAAACUCUGUUAUUAGGGAGGAACAAAUGUGUAAGUAACUAUGCACGUCUUGACGGUACCUAAUCAGAAAGCCACGGCUAACUACGUG
rnacentral:rRNA from 1 species